UACGGGGGGGGCAAGCGUUGUUCGGAAUUACUGGGCGUAAAGGGCUCGUAGGCGGCCAACUAAGUCAGACGUGAAAUCCCUCGGCUUAACCGGGGAACUGCGUCUGAUACUGGAUGGCUAGAGGUUGGGAGAGGGAUGCGGAAUUCCAGGUGUAGCGGUGAAAUGCGUAGAUAUCUGGAAGAACACCGGUGGCGAAGGCGGUCAACUGGCCCUCAACUGACGCUGAGGCACGAAAGCGUGGGGAUCAAACAGG
rnacentral:rRNA from 1 species